UACAGAGGUCUCAAGCGUUGUUCGGAAUUACUGGGCGUAAAGGGCGCGUAUGCGGCCUGCUAAGUCGAACGUGAAAUCCCCGGGCUCAACCCGGGAACUGCGUCCGAUACUGGCUGGCUUGAAUCCGGGAGAGGGAUGCGGAAUUCCAGGUGUAGCGGUGAAAUGCGUAGAUAUCUGGAGGAACACCGGUGGCGAAGGCGGCAUCCUGGACCGGCAUUGACGCUGAGGCGCGAAAGCCAGGGGAGCAAACGGG
rnacentral:rRNA from 1 species